GUAAUAGCUCACUGGUCGAGUCGGCCUGCGCGGAAGAUGUAACGGGGCUAAACCAUGCACCGAAGCUGCGGCAGCGACGCUUAUGCGUUGUUGGGUAGGGGAGCGUUCUGUAAGCCUGCGAAGGUGUACUGUGAGGUAUGCUGGAGGUAUCAGAAGUGCGAAUGCUGACAUAAGUAACGAUAAAGCGGGUGAAAAGCCCGCUCGCCGGAAGACCAAGGGUUCCUGUCCAACGUUAAUCGGGGCAGG
rnacentral:rRNA from 1 species